CCCUACGGGGUGCAGCAGGCGCGGAACCUUUACAAUGCACGAAAGUGUGAUAAGGGAAUCCCAAGUGCUUUACUUUUAGUAAGGCUUUUGCCAUGUGUAAAUAGCAUGGCGAAUAAGUGGUGGGUAAGACUUGUGCCAGCCGCCGCGGUAACACCAGCGCCACAAGUGGCAACCGCUUUUAUUGGGCCUAAAGCGUCCGUAGCCGGUUCAGUAAAUUUUCUGUGAAAUCGUUGAGCUUAACUUAACGACGUGCAGGAAACACUACUGGACUUGGGACCGGGAGGCGUCAGAGGUAUUCUUGAGGGAGCGGUAAAAUGCUAUAAUCUCAGGAGGACCCCCAGUGGCGAAAGCGUCUGACGAGAACGGAUCCGACGGUCAGGGACGAAAGCUAGGGGAGCAAACCGGAUUAGAUACCCGAGUAGUCCUAGCUGUAAACUCUGCGAGCUAGGUGUUGCACAUUCUUCGGGAAUGUGCAGUGUCGAAGCGAAGGUGUUAAGCUCGCCGCCUGGGAAGUAUGGUCGCAAGACUGAAACUUAAAGGAAUUGGCGGGGGAGCAC
rnacentral:rRNA from 1 species